CCUACGGGUGGCUGCAGUAGGGAAUCUUUCACAAUGGGCGAAAGCCUGAUGGAGCAACGCCGCGUGCAGGAUGAAGGCCGUCGGGUUGGAAACUGCUUGUAUAAGGGAGAAAAAUGAUGGUAACUUAUGAAUAAGGAACGGCUAACUACGUGCCAGCAGCCGCGGUCAUACGUAGGAUCCGAGCAUUAUCCGGAGUGACUGGGUGUUAAGAGUUGCGUAGGGGGCCUAAUAAGUAGCUAGUGGAAUCUGGUGGCUCAACCAUUCAGACUAUUAGCUAAACUGUUAAGCUCGAGACCGUUAGAGGUAACUGGAAUUUCUAGUGUAGGUGUGAAAUCCGUAGAUAUUA
rnacentral:rRNA from 1 species